UUGGAUGAUGAGAAACAA
rnacentral:snRNA from 1 species